rnacentral:rRNA from 1 species
ACGGAGGGUGCAAGCGUUAUCCGGAAUCAUUGGGUUUAAAGGGUCCGCAGGCGGACAUAUAAGUCAGUGGUGAAAGCCCGUUGCUUAACAACGGAACUGCCAUUGAUACUGUAUGUCUUGAAUGGGGUCGAAGUGGGCGGAAUAUGUCAUGUAGCGGUGAAAUGCUUAGAUAUGACAUAGAACACCGAUAGCGAAGGCAGCUCACUAGGCCUUUAUUGACGCUCAUGGACGAAAGCGUGGGGAGCAAACAGGAUUAGAUACCCUGGUAGUCCACGCCGUAAACUAUGAUUACUCGUUCUCGGCGAUACACAGUCGGGGACCAAGCGAAAGUGAUAAGUAAUCCACCUGGGGAGUACGAUCGCAAGGUUG